AUGCUUGCUUUGGCAGCACAUAUGCUAAAAUUAGAAUGAUACAGAAAGAUUAGCAUGGCUCCUGCUCAAGGAUGACACACAAAUUUGUGAAGCAUUCCAUAUUUUU
rnacentral:snRNA from 1 species